UUUUGUGUACUACCAAGAGGAGAGUGAGAAGGCCUUCAGACAGGGGCUGAAAUGAAAGCAUACAGAGAAAAGAGCAGAAACAGCAGGCAGCUCGAGAGCGCUCACGCAGACUCAUGCUGGAAGAGUGCAGAGCAAGACGCAUGCAUGACCUCCACUGCACUGUCAAUGAGAUCAAACCCUUCCGAUUCAGUGACCCCUAUGGAUACUGCUACUGAUCAGCUUAUAAUGCACACUUGACCAUUGUUACAACCAGGAUCUGAAGUUCUUCCAAUUCAGCAAUCACUGUGAUUACUGCUUCAAGAGUCAUCCAUUCAUCUGUAUCUAUGGAUACUUUUCUAUUGAACUUCUUAAAGUUCCGUUGUCUCAUCUCCAUGAUACAGUGGACGGAAGAACAUGUGGUUGGGAACACAAACAGGAGCUUUCUUUUAUAAAUUUUACAUUCAUCCUUUUUCAAAAUAAGAUCGAACAGGUGAUUGAGUGGAUAUCCCAACAGCUUUAGGCACUUAAAAUAAUUGCUACUCCAUGAUGAUUUAAUAAAGUUUUGCGAAACUG